rnacentral:rRNA from 1 species
UACAGAGGGUGCGAGCGUUAAUCGGAAUUACUGGGCGUAAAGCGCGCGUAGGCGGCUUUUCAAGUCGAUUGUGAAAUCCCCGGGCUUAACCUGGGAACUGCAGUCGAGACUGUCUAGCUAGAGUAUGGGAGAGGGAAGUGGAAUUUCAGGUGUAGCGGUGAAAUGCGUAGAGACUCGGAAGAACACCAGUGGCGAAGGCGGCUACCUGGACGGGUACUGACGCUGCAGCGCGAAAGCUAGGGGAGCAAACAGG